UAAAAGUUAAUAUAUUUCUUAGUUUUCUAACUGUAUAUUAUAUAUUAUAAAUAAACCAUUGUAAACAAGCUCGCCCGUCGCAUAGGUAUAAUUCCAGUUAGUAAAUAAAGAUCAGCCAAGAAUCUUGUGGUUAUCUCACACCCAUUAACUAGAACAGAAUUAGAUAAAAAUUAAUGAUAAAGUUGUGACAAAUUCAUAUGGCUGACAGCAUUCUUCUCAUUGACCUAGAAGAAAAAGUAUAGCUAUAAAGUGAACUCAAUUAAUAAGUUAUCAUCUCAUUGAAAUGGUUACACGAGAUGUAAUCAAAACCAGUGUUUGAAAAAGCGCGAGACGCGGAGAGGCGCAAGACUCUCCUGGAGCCUAGGCGCGAGGCGCACUGCGAGACGCUCGCCUCAAGAAGGCGAAGCGCACAUUUAUUAAGCCUAAUUUAAUUUGAUGUUCUACAUUAAAAAGGCCCAAAAUAACAAUCAAAAAGUAAAAAAAUGCAUGCAUAUAGUUUAAUUUGAUGUUCUUGCUGACGCUGCUGCUGUUUUCGCUGCUGUUGCUUCUUGUUUUCCUGCUGCUGCUUUUGGUUGCUUACUCUGGCCACCGCUGGUUUGCUGCCGUUGCUUCCUGCUGCUAGCACAGCUGUUGUUGGAUGCUCGAUAGGGAGAGAAUGUGGGAUAACAAAAGACGGAGAGGAGGGGGUGAGCGGCUGAUUUUUUUAGGGGUUUUUUGGGUUUCUUUCAAGAUUUGUUUAAGUAUUUUAUUAGGUUUAAAGUAUGAGAUGCAAAUUCAACACCUGACAAUCCGAAAACUUGAAUUUUUUUAGAUUUUUCUUAAUAUUUUUUAAGUAUAUUAUCGGGUUAAAGUAUAAGAUGCAAAUUCAAAACCCGACAAUCCGAAAACUUGAAUUUUUUUUGGAUUUCUUUUAAUAUUUUUUAAGUAUCUUAUCAGGUUAAAGUAUAAGAUGCAAAUUCAAAACCCGACAAUCCGAAAACUUGAAUUUUUUUAGAUUUUUCUUAAUAUUUUUUAAGUAUAUUAUCGGGUUAAAGUAUAAUAUGCAAAUUUAAAACCCAACAGCUCGAAAACUUGAAUAAAAAAUUCCUAAAAACUUAAAUAUUGCGAGGCGCGCGCCUCAGUAUAGCGCUGCGCCUCACUAUUGUUGAGGCGCGCGCCUCAAACCUAGGCACCGAGGCGCGCGCCUCUGACACGCCUUUUCAAACAGUGAUCAAAACAAACUAUAAGAAAAGCCAAGGGAGGUUAAGAUCGAUGG
rnacentral:lncRNA from 1 species